AUUGAACGCUGGCGGCAUGCUUUACACAUGCAAGUCGAACGGUAACAGGUUAAGCUGACGAGUGGCGAACGGGUGAGUAAUGCAUCGGAACGUGCCCGAUCGUGGGGGAUAACGCAGCGAAAGCUGCGCUAAUACCGCAUACGAUCUGAGGAUGAAAGCGGGGGACCGUAAGGCCUCGCGCGAUCGGUGCGGCCGAUGUCAGAUUAGGUAGUUGGUGGGGUAAAGGCCCACCAAGCCGACGAUCUGUAGCUGGUCUGAGAGGACGACCAGCCACACUGGGACUGAGACACGGCCCAUACUCCUACGGGAGGCAGCAGUGGGGAAUUUUGGACAAUGGGCGCAAGCCUGAUCCAGCAAUGCCGCGUGCAGGAAGAAGGCCUUCGGGUUGUAAACUGCUUUUGUACGGAACGAAAAGGUUUGGGUUAAUACCCUGGGCCGAUGACGGUACCGUAAGAAUAAGCACCGGCUAACUACGUGCCAGCCGCCGCGGUAA
rnacentral:rRNA from 1 species